CAGAACGAACGCUGGCGGUAUGCUUUAACCAUGCAAGUCGAACGAGAAAGGGUAGCAAUACCUGAGUAAAGUGGCAAACGGGUGAGUAACACACAGGAAUCUACCCAGUAGAGAGGAAUAAGCACUGGAAACGGUGUCUAAUACCACAUACUACGAUUUUUAGAAAUAUCUUCGGAAAGGGUUGGUAGCAAUAUCAAUUCGCUAUUGGAUGAGCCUAUGUCGGAUUAGCUAGUUGGUGGGGGUAAUGGCCUACCAAGGCGAUGAUCCGUAGCUGAUCUGAGAGGGUGAUCAGCCACACUGGAACUGCGACACGGUCCAGACUCCUACGGGAGGCAGCAGGUGGGAAUAUUGGACAAUGGAGGAAACUCUGAAUCCAGCAAUACCGCGUGAAUGAUGAAGGCCUUCGGGUUGUAAAGUUCUUUUAAUAGGGAAGAUAAUGACGGUACCUAUAGAAUAAGCACCGGCAAACUUCGUGCCAGCAGCCGC
rnacentral:rRNA from 1 species